rnacentral:rRNA from 1 species
CAAUAGCGUAUAUUAAAGUUGUUGCAGUUAAAAAGCUCGUAGUUGGAUUUCUGGUUGAAGCGACCGGUCGGGCGUUGAUUCGUCUGCACUGGAGUCGGUUUUGGCCAUCCUCUAGGAAAGUGCGUCUGGUAUUAAGUUAUCGGGCGUAUGAUCCUGGUCUUUUACUGUGAAAAAAUUAGAGUGUUUAAAGCAGGCCUUCGCCUUGAAUACAUUAGCAUGGAAUAAUAAGAUAGGACUUUGGUCUGUUUUGUUGGUUUGCAGACCGAAGUAAUGAUUAAUAGGGAUAGUUGGGGGUAUUUAUAUUCCGAUGUCAGAGGUGAAAUUCUUAGAUUUUCGGAAGAUAAACUUAUGCGAAAGCAUUUACCAAGGAUGUUUUCAUUAA